GUAAUAGUAAGCUAAGUUUAAGCUAAUGGGCUCAUACCCCAUCCAUGAGAUUUUAUCUCCUAUUAUG
rnacentral:tRNA from 1 species